CAGCAGCCGCGGGAAUACGGAGGGGGCUAGCGUUGUUCGGAAUUACUGGGCGUAAAGCGCACGUAGGCGGCUUUGUAAGUUAGAGGUGAAAGCCCGGAGCUCAACUCCGGAAUUGCCUUUAAGACUGCAGAGCUAGCAGGUGAGAGAGGUGAGUGGAAUUCCGAGUGUAGAGGUGAAAUUCGUAGAUAUUCGGAAGAACACCAGUGGCGAAGGCGGCUCACUGGCUCAUACUGGACGCUGAGGUGCGAAAGCGUGGGGAGCAAACAGGAUUAGAUACCCGCGUAGUCCCUGUCUCUUAUAC
rnacentral:rRNA from 1 species